CGAGGAGCUGUUACUGAGUUUCAAAUGCGAGCCAACUGUGCGACCGGAGAUCCAGGCUGACUGAUCCGCCGCCCGCCCCGCGGCCCGCCCUGUUGAGAGCCACAGCCGAAGGGGCCCCAGCAAACUUUCAGACUGCCAGCUGAUGAUUGGCUCACAGCGGCCCCAGCAACUUCUAGCUGAUUGGCUCCUCUGCGGUGAUGCUCAUUGAGCUGUUUCCCCACCCUUUCAGACUGCCAGCUGAUGAUUGGCUCACAGCGGCCCCAGCAACUUCUAGCUGAUUGGCUCCUUUGCGGUGAUGCUCAUUGGGCUGUUUCCCUGCCCUUUCAGACCACAGAGCUGCUCAUUGGGGAACUUUUUGGCUCCGCCCACAUGACCCAGCCAAUCGGCCUCAAGAACAGGAGGAGUGGGGGAGGUUGAGAGGCUUGUGGGAAGCCGGUGGUGGCAGUUGGGCUCUGAGAGUUUUUCCUGAGGAGCUGUUUUGUUUGGCGUGUGUGG
rnacentral:lncRNA from 1 species